CUCCCAGUUGCGAGACUCCCAGUUGUGAGACAGUGGAGAAGGCCUUCAACAAGUAGAAUACAUCACCAGUUCACGAGGCAGUAUUCAGGUGCUCUUUCAGGGUAACCUGUAUUACAA